GGUGAGGUGGCCGAGCAGGUCGAAGGCGCUCGCCUGCUAAGCGAGUAGAGGUAGCCCCUCUCGAGGGUUCGAAUCCCUCCCUCACCG
rnacentral:tRNA from 1 species